rnacentral:rRNA from 1 species
AUUGAACGCUGGCGGCAUGCCUUACACAUGCAAGUCGAACGGUAACAGGCCGCAAGGUGCUGACGAGUGGCGAACGGGUGAGUAAUGCAUCGGAACGUGCCCAGUCGUGGGGGAUAACUGCUCGAAAGAGCAGCUAAUACCGCAUACGACCUGAGGGUGAAAGCGGGGGACCGUAAGGCCUCGCGCGAUUGGAGCGGCCGAUGUCAGAUUAGCUCGUUGGUGGGGUAAAGGCCUUCCAAGGCAACGAUCUUUAGUUGGUCUGAGAGGACGACCAGCCACACUGGGACUGAGACACGGACCAGACUCCUACGGGAGGCAGCAGUGGGGAAUUUUGGACAAUGGGCGCAAGCCUGAUCCAGCAAUGCCGCGUGCAGGAAGAAGGCCUUCGGGUUGUAAACUGCUUUUGUCAGGGAAGAAAUCUUCUGGGCUAAUACCCCGGGAGGAUGACGGUACCUGAAGAAUAAGCACCGGCUAACUACGUGCCAGCCGCCGCGGUAAUAC